rnacentral:misc_RNA from 1 species
AGCAAGAAAUGCUGUGGCUCUUGCUCUAAGCCCAGUUGUGCGGGCACUUGUCGAUCCAGAUGGUGCAAUGAGGGACAUUCGUAACCUAGAUAAUAUCAGUUUCACUGAUUGGUUCUUCUCCAAAGGUGGUACACGCACAAGCAUUCAGAGGAUGUGGGAUCCUGUUGCCUAUGCACUUGGGUUUAUUGAUUGCGAUAAUAUGAGUGCUCGAUGUAUGCUUACCAUAUUUUCUCUAUUUGCCACGAAGACAGAGGCUUCUCUAUUACGUAUGCUGAAAGGUUCACCAGAUGUUUACCUAAGUGGCCCAAUUAGAAAGUAUAUCACGGAGAAAGGUGGCCGAUUUCACCUACGGUGGGGAUGUAGACAAGUACUUUACGAUAAAUUGCCUGACGGGGAUACAUAUGUUACUGGCCUUGCCAUGUCUAAGGCGACUGAUAAAAAAAUUGUGCAAGCUGAUGUGUAUAUCGCAGCAUGUGAUGUCCCUGGAAUUAAGAGGCUCAUUCCACCUCAAUGGAGGGAGUGGGAACUAUUUGAGAAUCUAUAUAAGCUAGUUGGAGUUCCAGUUGCCACUGUUCAGCUUCGUUACAAUGGCUGGGUGACUGAGUUCCAGGACCUGGAGAAAUCGAGGCAAUCAAGAAGUGCUGUCGGAUUGGACAAUCUUCUUUAUACUCCAGAUGCAGAUUUUUCCUGUUUUGCAGACCUAGCACUAACAUCUCCGGCGGAUUACUUUAUUGAAGGACAAGGUUCUCUUAUCCAGGCCGUUCUUACACCUGGUGACCCCUACAUGCCCUUGCCUAAUGAAGAGAUCAUAAGCAGAGUUCAAAAGCAGGUAUUGGACAUAUUUCCGUCCUCUCAAGGUUUGGAAGUUAUUUGGUCGUCGGUGGUCAAAAUUGGACAGUCCCUUUAUCGGGAGGCGCCUGGGAAUGACCCGUUUAGACCUGAUCAGAAAACUCCAGUAAAAAAUUUCUUCCUGGCUGGUUCCUACACUAAGCAGGAUUACAUUGACAGCAUGGAAGGCGCAACUCUCUCUGGCCGACAAGCGGCUGCUUAUGUCUGCAGUGCUGGGGAGGAGCUGGCAGCACUACGGAAAAAGCUGGCAGCAAUUGGGGCUCAACAGUUCUUGGAAGGUUUUAACACAAAGGACGAGUUGACCCUUGUAUGAUAUAAAUGAAAAAAUAUAUACCGCAGAUGGGUCUGAUGUGUACAUGAGUUAUAUUUCGCCAACAUUUCUUGUAAUUGUGCACCAGUAUUUGAGGCCCUUCCAUUCAUUGUAUGUAUCAUGAGAGCUAUCCCACUUGAUGGCAUACGGGAUAAAUUCAGGCAAAUAACUAUAUCAGUGUAAGAGUCUUUUGAUUCUUG